UACCAGCUCUCCGAGUGGUGUGGAUGUUUAUUGGGCCUAAAGCAUCCGUAGCUUGCUAAGCAAGUCCCCUGUUAAAUCCACCGAUUCAAUCGGUGGAUUGCGGGGGAUACUGUUUGGCUAGGGGACGGGAGAGGCCGACGGUAUUUCCGGGGUAGGGGUGAAAUCCUAUAAUCCCGGGAAGACCACCAGUGGCGAAGGCUGUCGGCUAGAACGCGCCCGACGGUGAGGGAUGAAAGCUGGGGGAGCGAACCGGAUUAGAUACCCGGGUAGUCCCAGCUGUAAACGAUGCAGGCUAGGUGUUUGGGCGGCCACGAGCCGCUCUAGUGCCGCAGGGAAGCUGUUAAGCCUGCCGCCUGGGGAGUACGGCCGCAAGGCUGAAACUUAAAGGAAUUGGCGGGGGAGCACCACAAGGGGUGAAGCUUGCGGUUU
rnacentral:rRNA from 1 species